GGUUGGUGGUGAUGGUCAUGGUUUACUCUGUUGGACACAUUUCUGGUGCUCAUUUUAACCCUGCUGUUACUAUUGCUUUUGCAUCUAACAAAAGGUUCCCUUGGAAACAGGUACCUGCCUACGUGGCAGCUCAAGUGAUUGGAUCAACAUUAGCAAGUGGGACCCUACGAUUAAUAUUCAAUGGGAAACAUGAUCACUUCGUUGGAACCUCACCUACUGGAUCAGACGUUCAAUCUCUUGUUCUCGAAUUUAUAAUCACAUUUUACCUUAUGUUUGUCAUUUCUGGUGUCGCAACUGAUAAUAGAGCCAUUGGAGAACUUGCUGGUCUUGCUGUCGGGGCAACCGUAUUGCUUAAUGUGAUGUUUGCCGGGCCAAUAUCAGGGGCAUCAAUGAAC
rnacentral:misc_RNA from 1 species